CUCCCUUCACCAUAUACGUAAUUUCCGGUUUGUAAUUGAAAAACGAGAAAUUUUGAAACAAUUACGUUUUUUGUCUACAUUUACUGCUGUUUGAGGAUGCUUCUGUUGAGUUAUGACAGGACAGUAUCCAUGCUCCCUGUCCGACACCCUCCCAUGUUGCAGUUAACAUUUCCCUGCCAGUCUUCUUCCCCCAUCAUGCCCAACUGACUGGUCCAAUAUUGUUCAAAACUAUAUGGAAAUGCCUCGUCAUCGUAGUUUGGAGUAUGUGCAGAGCACUCAGGAUAACAAGCAGUUUAUUUGCUUGAUGAGACUGAUUUGCCGGGGAAGGGAGCAGACACUGCUGUGAGCAUGAUGAUCACUACUUCAAGUACCAUGGUUUGGAGAAGAAAAGCCGAAAUUGGCACUUUGGUCUUUGGAAAAGCAGCAAACAGGCCUGGCUUUUUUCAGUGCAGGUGUGUUGCAUCGGAUAUGGUGUAGUUUACCUUGAUGAAAACCAGAGUAGUUGUGUUACCUGAACUCCUUUCCGAAAUCUGCAUCAAGGGGAUGGAUCUUGAAUGGCAGUGGUAUUAACAUGAAAAGA